rnacentral:tRNA from 1 species
GGUUAUGGCUCAGUGGUAGAGCUCUUGCCUAGCAUAUAUGAGGCACUGGGUUCAAACCUCAGCACCA